rnacentral:rRNA from 1 species
UCGAGCGAACGGACGAGAAGCUUGCUUCUCUGAUGUUAGCGGCGGACGGGUGAGUAACACGUGGAUAACCUACCUAUAAGACUGGGAUAACUUCGGGAAACCGGAGCUAAUACCGGAUAAUAUUUUGAACCGCAUGGUUCAAAAGUGAAAGACGGUCUUGCUGUCACUUAUAGAUGGAUCCGCGCUGCAUUAGCUAGUUGGUAAGGUAACGGCUUACCAAGGCAACGAUGCAUAGCCGACCUGAGAGGGUGAUCGGCCACACUGGAACUGAGACACGGUCCAGACUCCUACGGGAGGCAGCAGUAGGGAAUCUUCCGCAAUGGGCGAAAGCCUGACGGAGCAACGCCGCGUGAGUGAUGAAGGUCUUCGGAUCGUAAAACUCUGUUAUUAGGGAAGAACAUAUGUGUAAGUAACUGUGCACAUCUUGACGGUACCUAAUCAGAAAGCCACGGCUAACUACGUGCCAGCAGCCGCGGUAAUACGUAGGUGGCAAGCGUUAUCCGGAAUUAUUGGGCGUAAAGCGCGCGUAGGCGGUUUUUUAAGUCUGAUGUGAAAGCCCACGGCUCAACCGUGGAGGGUCAUUGGAAACUGGAAAACUUGAGUGCAGAAGAGGAAAGUGGAAUUCCAUGUGUAGCGGUGAAAUGCGCAGAGAUAUGGAGGAACACCAGUGGCGAAGGCGACUUUCUGGUCUGUAACUGACGCUGAUGUGCGAAAGCGUGGGGAUCAAACAGGAUUAGAUACCCUGGUAGUCCACGCCGUAAACGAUGAGUGCUAAGUGUUAGGGGGUUUCCGCCCCUUAGUGCUGCAGCUAACGCAUUAAGCACUCCGCCUGGGGAGUACGACCGCAAGGUUGAAACUCAAAGGAAUUGACGGGGACCCGCACAAGCGGUGGAGCAUGUGGUUUAAUUCGAAGCAACGCGAAGAACCUUACCAAAUCUUGACAUCCUUUGACAACUCUAGAGAUAGAGCYUUCCCCUUCGGGGGACAAAGUGACAGGUGGUGCAUGGUUGUCGUCAGCUCGUGUCGUGAGAUGUUGGGUUAAGUCCCGCAACGAGCGCAACCCUUAAGCUUAGUUGCCAUCAUUAAGUUGGGCACUCUAAGUUGACUGCCGGUGACAAACCGGAGGAAGGUGGGGAUGACGUCAAAUCAUCAUGCCCCUUAUGAUUUGGGCUACACACGUGCUACAAUGGACAAUACAAAGGGCAGCGAAACCGCGAGGUCAAGCAAAUCCCAUAAAGUUGUUCUCAGUUCGGAUUGUAGUCUGCAACUCGACUACAUGAAGCUGGAAUCGCUAGUAAUCGUAGAUCAGCAUGCUACGGUGAAUACGUUCCCGGGUCUUGUACACACCGCCCGUCACACCACGAGAGUUUGUAACACCCGAAGCCGGUGGAGUAACCUUUUAGGAGCUAGCCGUCGAA